GAGUCAUCAAGGCCUGAGGACAAUCUGUGUUCCCAGUGAUGGCACAUGGCCCGCUAUUAUGUCUCUGCUGUGUCCUCUGCAGCACGUCGGGAUUCCUGUCUGUCACCUGGGAGAGGCUCCCUGAGGCCAGGUGGAAAUCAUACCCGGAUGCCACCAGAAUGAUGAUUCAGCCCUUUCCGUGCUUGUUCCAGAGGGGAAGCCCAUGAAAGGAGGACAGCCAGUGCUCUCCUGUGUGCCACGUUCCAGAAGCUCAGUCUCACUCUGUCGCGCAGGCUGGAGUGCAGUGGCACGAUCUCGGCUCACUGCAACCUCUGCCUCCCGGAUUCAAGCGCUUCUCCUGCCUCAGCCUCCCAAGUAGCUGGGAUUACAGGUACCUGCCACCACACUCAGAUGAUGACGCCACAUUACCAGUGUCAGCACUCCCCAAGAAGAAGGAUUGAGGCUUGGUCCAGUGUGAAGCAAGUGGGCCGUUAAACACGUGGCUUUGGCUAGUUUUUGAGCAUGGGGCUAUGGUGAGGGUUGCUGCCUGUGGGCUGGGGCUUGAGUGGUUUGAACGUCCUUCUGCUGCCAAGACAGAAAGCACAUGGUGUGCCCAGAUGUGCAUUGGAGGUGACUGAGGAAGGGCUGGGAAGCUGACAAUAUCCAAAAAUCUAAUGUUGUUGUCAUACAGGGAGAUAAACAGGGCUACUAGAAAAUAGCUUAUCUGACCCUUUGAGAAAAUGUAGAGAGAAGAGUCCAACCCAGGGCUGUUUGACCACAAAGUCUCAGGAUUGCUGAGAGAGGGACUCUUGCAUCCACAGAGCCCUGGCCCUGCCCCACUGCCCUCCCUCGAACCCAGCUUCUGACACCCCCUGCCCCGUCAUCAUCACCCACUGCUGUUUUCUCUACCCAGCCUGACUCAGCUGCCCUGACAGAUGGGGACCAAGGCCAAGGAGGGCCAGCUGGGCUCCUCUCUUCCAAGAGAUGGCAACUCCAGCCCUGCCCUCAGGAAUGUGCUUUUCUCCCUGGCACUGGCUGCUCUCCAGGCCUAAAUUCAACCCUGUUUUUAGCACAGAAAACCAGGCCAAAUGCCACACCCAGUCUCAGCAUACGAAGCACCUAGAACUGACACUGUGAGCUCUGAACUCUUUGUGUGUGUGGGGCGGGGUGAGGGGGAGCAACAUGCCCGGACAGGUAGUCAGUGAUUUUUAAGAAAGAUGGAGGCGAGCUUAUACCCAGAGGAUUUUUCCUUCCAGUGUUUAGUAACUGUUUGGCUGUGACUUGCUAGGAAGCACUCAUAUUACAUCAGUCCAAAAGAAAGUUUAAUUGAACACUGAUGAAUAAGACACUGUGCCAUGCACACUCUUCUAUUUCUUUUGAUUCUAGUUGAAUGUAUAAGAUACCCAUGUUGAUGAAUAAAUUGAUUCACAACCU
rnacentral:lncRNA from 1 species